CUAUAAAAUGAGAGCUAAGAAGUCGGAUUAUACUCGUAUUCGCUAUACUCCAACCAAUCGUCUCGGCAUCAUUUAUCGAAGCAUCCGAUUUCUCCUCAUCGAGAACACCUUUAUUAGGUGGUAAACUCAUCCCCAUACUAGCUCUGUGUUGGGCUCAUUGCUCCCGCUCCCACAUAUAUGUGUCAGAUUUGCUGGUGGCUCUGUUGGCCACAAGGCAUCACUUUGUUGAGCCCCAUGGAAGCUCAGCCUUAUAGCACUGGCCACGCACGUCAACAGGAGUAGCCAAGCCUCGGGCUGUUGUCCAGCUUGUGUUGACUGUCUUUGCUAUCUUUUCCCUGCCAUGAAAAAAUCUUAUAUUCCUAUCAAGGCCAGCAUUCACCUCCUCCAUGCUCAGCCGCAUCCCUCCAGUCAUAUCCGUACUUGGAAAGCUCUCAGCACUUAUGUAUUCAGCCUCUUCAGUGUGGCAGAUUGUGUUUUCCAAGGAUGGUCUCACCAAUGUACGUAUCCAUCCUAAGUGCUCUUCUUACCAAAAUUGACUGGCUUGCCUCCCCUGAGAAGCGGAAUCUGUGUGCCCUCCCCAUGAAUCUGGACCUUGUGGCUGCCCCAUCCAAUGGAACACAGCCAGAGUGAUGUUAUAUGACUUCUGGGUCAAGGUCAUCCCAAGGAUACAGCUGCUGCUUGACUUUCUCUCUCUCUCUCUCUCCUUCUCUCUCUCUCUCUCAGUGCUCACCUCCAGAAUCCAGCCACCACUUUUUGAGGAAGCCCAGGCCACAUGGAGAGGCCACGUGUAGGAGUUCCAGCCCACAGCGCCAGCUAAGAUUUCAGCUGCUCCAGCCAGUAUUGACUGCCAGACAAGUGAGUGAAGAAGAUGAUUCCAGCCUUCAGAAUUCCAACUGAGGACCCAGACAUUAAGAAGCAGAGAUAAUGAGGUGGAGGUGGAGGUCCGUGCUGGGACUCGGGGCCAGCAUCUCCUGCUACAGGGCUGCGUGUCUGGACCAGGAGGAAACACCCAGUUGGCGUGCUGCAUUCAUGGAGAACAGUUUGUUCCGUGUGAGGCUGGGCCGACUGACUCCACAGCCGCCCGCACAGCCCUGGCAGGACCAGAAAAUGCUAGUCAACCUGCACGGAGUGACGACUGCUCAGACAGGGACUUGCUGGUCCUAAGUGGCGGGCCUCCGGGCCACCAGGAGUUGACGCUCGGAGCCC